AAAAUAUUAUUUUUAUUGAAAAAUUCUGUGUUUCUUUAAAAUUGUUACCAACUCCCCCCAAAAGGAUCAAUGCACCCUCCAAAACCUAUAGCAACUGCAAAAAAAAAACCCCAAAAUGAAGAACAACUGAACCGCUUUUUCUGCGGAAAAAAAGGAAGAAAAAACCAACUUUGAAUGAUUCAAGAGACCAUAUGUUGUGAGAGAAGAUGUGUUCUACGAAAGCGUAUUCGCCAUUCACGCUGACGACAGUCGAGAAUACACAAAACAAAAAAGGAUGUUUGGAGAAAUCUAGAUUUGAUAAGAGAAUGGCCUUUGUCAGGCGCACAAAGAAGAAGCGUAUGGUGAAAUUUUUGAAAUAGAUCAUAGGCGAGCUACUGUUUUGCAUUAAGAUGAGGCCUGAUUUUGUAGCUGCAUGCUAAAGAUAAAAGCCUAACAAAAUCUAUGGAGCCAGGGUUAUGGCAGCGAAAUUUUAA
rnacentral:sRNA from 1 species